UACGUAGGGGGCGAGCGUUGUCCGGAUUUAUUGGGCGUAAAGAGCGUGUAGGCGGCCAGGUAGGUCUGCUGUGAAAACUCGAGGCUCAACCUCGAGACGUCGGCGGAAACCAUCUGGCUAGAGUCCGGAAGAGGAGAGUGGAAUUCCUGGUGUAGCGGUGAAAUGCGCAGAUAUCAGGAAGAACACCCGUGGCGAAGGCGGCUCUCUGGGACGGCACUGACGCUGAGUGAGCGAAAGCCAGGGGAGCAAACGGG
rnacentral:rRNA from 1 species